rnacentral:rRNA from 1 species
UGAACGCUGGCGGUAGGCCUAACACAUGCACGUCGAACGGCAGCACAGUAAGAGCUUGCUCUUACGGGUGGCGAGUGGCGGACGGGUGAGGAAUACAUCGGAAUCUACUUUUUCGUGGGGGAUAACGUAGGGAAACUUACGCUAAUACCGCAUACGACCUACGGGUGAAAGCAGGGGAUCUUCGGACCUUGCGCGAUUGAAUGAGCCGAUGUCGGAUGAGCUAGUUGGCGGGGUAAAGGCCCACCAAGGCGACGAUCCGUAGCUGGUCUGAGAGGAUGAUCAGCCACACUGGAACUGAGACACGGUCCAGACUCCUACGGGAGGCAGCAGUGGGGAAUAUUGGACAAUGGGCGCAAGCCUGAUCCAGCCAUACCGCGUGGGUGAAGAAGGCCUUCGGGUUGUAAAGCCCUUUUGUUGGGAAAGAAAAGCAGCAGGUUAAUACCCCGCUGUUCUGACGGUACCCAAAGAAUAAGCACCGGCUAACUUCGUG